GGGCCUAUAGCUCAGCUGGUUAGAGCGCACGCCUGAUAAGCGUGMGGUCGAUGGUUCGAGUCCAUUUAGGCCCA
rnacentral:tRNA from 1 species